GGCUUAGAAGCAGCCAUGCCUUGAAAGAGUGCGUAAUAGCUCACUGGUCGAGAGUAUCUGCGCCGAAGAUGUAACGGGGCUGAAGACAUAAACCGAAGCUGUGGAAGCGGCCAUGCCGCUUGGUAGGAGAGCGUUCUGUAGGUCUGCGAAGGCUGGCCGGAAGGCCUGCUGGAGACAUCAGAAGCGAGAAUGCAGGAAUGAGUAGCGAGAAGGAGGGCGAGAAUCCCUCCGGCCGGAAGUCCAAGGUUUCCGGGGGAAGGUUUGUCCGCCCCGGGGAAGUCGGGACCUAAGCGUAAGCAGAGAUGUGAUUGCGAAUGGGAAACAGGUUAAUAUUCCUGUACCGCUGUCAGUCGCCUGAGUGACGGAGUGACGCAGCAAGGUAUGUGAGAAGGCUGACGGAAUAGCCUUUCUAAAGGCGUAGCCUGGGCACGCAGGCAAAUCCGCGUGCCUAAAGGUGAGACCCUAUGGGCAAGUGCUCCUGCACAAGUCACAGAUCCUACACUGCCAAGAAAAACUUCUAGCGAGACUGGACAGCGCCCGUACCCUAAACCGACACAGGUGGACAGAGUGAGAAACUUAAGGCCGACAGGAUAACUCUAGCUAAGGAACUCUGCAAAAUAGCCCCGUAACUUCGGGAGAAGGGGUGCCUGACAUACCUGAGAGGAGAAACGCCUCAAGGGGAAACAGGCCGCAGUGAAGAGUCUCAAGCAACUGUUUACCAAAAACACAGGUCUAUGCUAAGCUGAAAGGCGACGUAUAUGGGCUGACACCUGCCCAGUGCCGGAAGGUUAAGAGGAGGAGUGAGAGCUCCGAUUUGAAGCCCCGGUGAACGGCGGCCGUAACUAUAACGGUCCUAAGGUAGCGAAAUUCCUUGUCGGGUAAGUUCCGACCUGCACGAAUGGUGUAAUGAUUUGAGCGCUGUCUUGACGGGAGGCCUGGUGAAAUUGUAUUACCGGUGAAGAUACCGGUUACCUACAGUAGGACGGAAAGACCCCAUGGAGCUUUACUGUAGCUUGGUAUUGGGUUUUGGCAUUGCAUGUAUAGGAUAGUUGGGAGACUAUGAUGAUAUGGCGCUAGCUGUAUCGGAGUCAUCGGUGGAAUACCAACCAUUCAAUGCUGAAAUUCUAAUCUGUGGUUUGUAGCCACGGAGACAGUGCUAGGUGGGCAGUUUGACUGGGGCGGUCGCCUCCGAAAGAGUAACGGAGGCGUUCAAAGGUUCUCUCAGGUUGGAUGGAAAUCAACCAUAGAGUGCAAUGGCAUAAGAGAGCUUGACUGCAAGACUGACGGGUCGAGCAGAUGCGAAAGCAGGACAUAGUGAUCCGGCGAUUCCGAAUGGAAGGGUCGUCGCUCAACGGAUAAAAGCUACCCUGGGGAUAACAGGCUGAUCCUACCCGAGAGUCCAUAUCGACGGUAGGGUUUGGCACCUCGAUGUCGGCUCAUCGCAUCCUGGGGCUGGAGAAGGUCCCAAGGGUUGGGCUGUUCGCCCAUUAAAGCGGUACGUGAGCUGGGUUCAGAACGUCGUGAGACAGUUCGGUCCCUAUCCACUGUAGGCGUUAGAAUAUUGAGAAGACCUGUCCUUAGUACGAGAGGACCGGGAUGGACAAACCUCUGAUGUACCAGUUGUCACGCCAGUGGCACAGCUGGGUAGUCACGUUUGGAAUAGAUAACCGCUGAAAGCAUCUAAGCGGGAAACUAACUUCAAGAUAAGUAUUCUUUAAGAUACCUUCGAGCCUAGGAGGUUGAUAGGUUGGGGGUGUAAGUACAGCAAUGUAUUUAGCUGACCAAUACUAAUUAUCGAAGUUUUAAUCUA
rnacentral:rRNA from 1 species